rnacentral:rRNA from 1 species
GAUGAACGCUGGCGGCGUGCCUAAUACAUGCAAGUCGAGCGAACGGACGAGAAGCUUGCUUCUCUGAUGUUAGCGGCGGACGGGUGAGUAACACGUGGAUAACCUACCUAUAAGACUGGGAUAACUUCGGGAAACCGUAGCUAAUACCGGAUAAUAUUUUGAACCGCAUGGUUCAAAAGUGAAAGACGGUCUUUCUGUCACUUAUAGAUGGAUCCGCGCUGCAUUAGCUAGUUGGUAAGGUAACGGCUUACCAAGGCAACGAUGCAUAGCCGACCUGAGAGGGUGAUCGGCCACACUGGAACUGAGACACGGUCCAGGCUCCUACGGGAGGCAGCAGUAGGGAAUCUUCCGCAAUGGGCGAAAGCCUGACGGAGCAACGCCGCGUGAGUGAUGAAGGUCUUCGGAUCGUAAAACUCUGUUAUUAGAGAAGAACAUAUGUGUAAGUAACUGUGCACAUCUUGACGGUACCUAAUCAGAAAGCCACGGCUAACUACGUG